rnacentral:rRNA from 1 species
CCUACGGGAGGCAGCAGUGAGGAAUAUUGGUCAAUGGACGAGAGUCUGAACCAGCCAAGUAGCGUGAAGGAUGACUGCCCUAUGGGUUGUAAACUUCUUUUAUAAAGGAAUAAAACGAGGCACGUGUGCCUUUUUGCACGUACUUUAUGAAUAAGGAUCGGCUAGCUCCGUGACAGCAGCCGCGGUAAUACGGAGGAACCGAGCGUUAUCCGGAUUUAUUGGGUGUAAAGGGAGCGUAGAUGGGUUGUUAAGUCAGUUGUGAAAGUUUGGGGCUCAACCGUAAAAUUGCAAUUGAUACUGGCAGUCUUGAGUACAGUUGAGGUAGGCGGAAUUCGUGGUGUAGCGGUGAAAUGCUUAGAUAUCACGAAGAACCCCGAUUGCGAAGGCAGCUUACUAAACUGUGACUGACAUUGAUGCUCGAAAGUGUGGGUAGCAAACAGGAUUAGAUACCCGGGUAGUC